UCGGGGGUCGUCUAAUGGCAGGACAUCACCCUUUGGAGGUGAGUAUGAUGGUUCGAAUCCAUCCCCCCGAG
rnacentral:tRNA from 7 species